AUGAUCCCUUCCCGCCAUACGAUGCUCCGUUUUGUUCCGUUGUGAAUGCCGCAUCCUGUCCUGGUGACAGGAGAACAAUAUUGGUGAACGUCGCAGUAGGUGUCCGAGUGCUCCGUGUGCCCCUGAAAGCGGGUGGGAGCGGAAACCCGGGCGGCCUUGGCCUCCUACGAUAGCGCGCUAUCUGCCGCUGCCGCGCGCGUACGCGCAGCCUCUGGGCUAUUUCUGGUCCGGCCGCAGCACUGUGGUGGGUGCGGGCGUGCCGGGACCCGGCGGGGGCGGGGCGGCCAUAUGGGUCGGCUCUCCCGCCUACGCCUCCCGCUCCAGAGCAAGCCGGGCCGCCGUCCUCUCGCCAUGGGCUCCGGUGAGUCUGGAGUCCGGUUGGGCCCUCGGCUGCUCCCUAGGCCGAUCCGGGUUGAGAGGCUCUCUGAUCCUUUGGCUGCAGCAGGGAGAGACUUGGGUCAGACUUAGAGGGGAUUUCCAGCCAGCGUACGGGGUGGUCAGGGUGGAGAGGCUGGCGGGCUACCGGGACGCCGGGCAUCAGGGGGCUCGAUGGAGCCGGCCGGCGCUCUGGGCGCCCCGCCGACCGCCCGGUUCACUGCGGCCUUCCGUUGCAGGGCCGCGCGGGGCGCUGAGCUUACUGCUCUUGCUGCUGGCGCCGCCGAGCCGCCCGGCCGCAGGUUGCCCCGCGCCCUGUAGCUGCGCGGGGACGCUAGUGGACUGCGGGCGCCGCGGGCUGACUUGGGCCUCGCUGCCGACUGCCUUCCCUGUCGACACAACCGAGCUGGUGCUGACCGGCAACAAUCUGACGGCGCUGCCGCCGGGGCUGCUGGACGCGCUGCCCGCGCUGCGCGCCGCACACCUGGGCGCCAACCCCUGGCGCUGCGACUGCCACCUGGUUCCGCUGCGCGCCUGGCUGGCCGGCCGCCCCGAGCGUGCCCCCUACCGCGACCUGCGUUGCGUGGCGCCCCCAGCUCUGCGCGGCCGCCUGCUGCCCUACCUGGCAGAAGACGAGCUGCGUGCCGCUUGCGCUCCCGGCUCGCUCUGCUGGGGGGCGCUGGCGGCGCAGCUCGCGCUGCUGGGCCUGGGGCUGCUGCACGCGCUGCUGCUGCUGCUGCUCCUGUGCCGUCUGCGGAGGCUGCGCAUCCGCGCCCGCGCCGCACCCCGGCUAUCGCUGACCGCCCCGCUGGUGGACGAGUCGGCCGGAACCGGCGCGUCCUGAGGAGAGACCCGGCGCUGAGCAACGCAGGCCUGCAAACUCGACAGGACCCUGCCCAAGACGCCCUCACGCCAACCUGGACCCGCCUCGGCCUCCUCCGCUGCCCAAUCUCUCAGACUCGCCCCACCUGCAGGCCCAGACCCACGUGGGGCAGAACUCCUGCCCAUUUUACCCCGAUGGAGGCGAACCCUCCAGCCUUGGGAGGACCGUGGGGCACAAGGCGGUCCAGACCCUGGUCUUUCCUCCAAACUCUGGUGCUGAAUAAAUCCUUCUGAUCUGGC